ACUCCUACGGGAGGCAGCAGUGGGGAAUAUUGCACAAUGGGCGAAAGCCUGAUGCAGCGACGCCGCGUGAGGGAUGACGGCCUUCGGGUUGUAAACCUCUUUCAGCAGGGAAGAAGCGAAAGUGACGGUACCUGCAGAAGAAGCGCCGGCUAACUACGUGCCAGCAGCCGCGGUAAUACGUAGGGCGCAAGCGUUGUCCGGAAUUAUUGGGCGUAAAGAGCUCGUAGGCGGCUUGUCGCGUCGGUUGUGAAAGCCCGGGGCUUAACCCCGGGUCUGCAGUCGAUACGGGCAGGCUAGAGUUCGGUAGGGGAGAUCGGAAUUCCUGGUGUAGCGGUGAAAUGCGCAGAUAUCAGGAGGAACACCGGUGGCGAAGGCGGAUCUCUGGGCCGAUACUGACGCUGAGGAGCGAAAGCGUGGGGAGCGAACAGGAUUAGAUACCCUGGUAGUCCACGCCGUAAACGGUGGGCACUAGGUGUGGGCAACAUUCCACGUUGUCCGUGCCGCAGCUAACGCAUUAAGUGCCCCGCCUGGGGAGUACGGCCGCAAGGCUAAAACUCAAAGGAAUUGACGGGGGCCCGCACAAGCGGCGGAGCAUGUGGCUUAAUUCGACGCAACGCGAAGAACCUUACCAAGGCUUGACAUACACCGGAAACGUCCAGAGAUGGGCGCCCCCUUGUGGUCGGUGUACAGGUGGUGCAUGGCUGUCGUCAGCUCGKGUCGUGAGAUGUUGGGUUAAGUCCCGCAACGAGCGCAACCCUUGUCCCGUGUUGCCAGCAAGCCCUUCGGGGUGUUGGGGACUCACGGGAGACCGCCGGGGUCAACUCGGAGGAAGGUGGGGACGACGUCAAGUCAUCAUGCCCCUUAUGUCUUGGGCUGCACACGUGCUAC
rnacentral:rRNA from 1 species